AUUCUCAACCUGUGGGUCCCCAGAUGUUGUUGAACUACAACUCCCAUCAUCCCUGGGGUAAUGGGAGUUGUAGUCCAACAACAUCUGGGGACCCACAGGUUGAGAAC